rnacentral:rRNA from 1 species
AAGACCUUGCGCUUUUGGAGCGGCCGAUGCCUGAUUAGCUUGUUGGUAAGGUAAAAGCUUACCAAGGCUUCGAUCAGUAGCCGGUCUGAGAGGACGGCCAGCCACACUGGGACUGAGACACGGCCCAGACUCCUACGGGAGGCAGCAGUGGGGAAUUUUGGACAAUGGGGGCAACCCUGAUCCAGCCAUGCCGCGUGAGUGAAGAAGGCCUUCGGGUUGUAAAGCUCUUUCAGCCGGAACGAAACGGUUACGGUUAAUACCCGUGAUUACUGACGGUACCGGAAGAAGAAGCACCGGCUAACUACGUGCCAGCAGCCGCGGUAAUACGUAGGGUGCGAGCGUUAAUCGGAAUUACUGGGCGUAAAGCGUGCGCAGGUGGUUUUGUAAGUCAGAUGUGAAAGCCCCGGGCUCAACCUGGGAACU